CACUUAUUCCGGUCUUUAAAACACAUCGUUUCAUUUAAUUUGGUAAGCAAUAUUGGUGGGCUUCGAUUAGAAUUUUGUUUUAUGUUUUGCUUAAUAAAGCUCAUUCACUACAAGAAAAAAGAUUGAUACCCGACAACCAUAUUAAACAUAAUUUUAAUCGGGAACGAGUGUUUUCUAUCAUUUUUCGACAAUCCUAAUUUCAUCAGAGUUUGGUUCUAGAAAAUAACCAUUUGUUGGAAAAAUUUCGGUAAGUUACGAUAACAAAUAUUGUCAGAAUUUUUUAUCGAAAAAUCAUCUGAAUGUACUAAUGAUUUUUUGAGUAAUCCACCUCCGAUUAAUUUCCGGCAGCUGAUAAUAUUUAUACAAAAAUAAUUAUUUUAAUUAAAUUAUAAAAAUAUAAAAAAUCUUCAUAGAUUUCAUUGCAUAAUAAAUGUAAAAAUUUAAUAAAAAAAUCAAAAGGAAAGAACGGAUCUCCUUUUGACAAUAAAUUUGAUAAAAUUGGUGGUGUAUGAUGCAACGGUGGUGAUAGCGCAUGAGAAGUGAGCGGAAUGGAAGUAGUGGUAAACAAAAUUGUAGCGGUGGUCGUGCAAGGAGUUGCGGUGGCUGAAUGCAAAGAAAGAGGCGUGGCGGUGCAAGGAGCUGCGGCAGCGGCGGUGAAGAAGUUGCGAUAGCAGCGGUGAAGGAGUUGCGGCAGUGGCGAUGCAAGGAGUUGGGGCAGAGGCCAUGAAGGAGUUGCGGCAGAUGCGGUGAAAGAUGUGCGGACAGUGGUGGUGCAAGGUUUUGCG
rnacentral:lncRNA from 1 species